AAAACUUACCAGGUCAAGACAUGGGCGUGAUUGACAGGCUAAUGACUUUUCUCGAUUCCAUGGAUGGUGGUGCAUGGUCGCACUUAGUUGGUGCAGUGAUUUGUCAGGUUUAUUCCGGUAACGAACGAGACCUCGGCCUUGUAAAUAGCUAUGCUGCUUACAGGGACAUUGGCGGCUACGCCAAGGAAGCUCGAGGCAAUUGCAGAUCUGGAAUGCCCUUAGAUGUCCUGGGUCGCACGCGUGCUACAAUGACGCCACGAACGAGCUUGCGUGAUGAAAGUUACGCAUAAUCAGCAGUCGGCGUCUUAAGGGAUAGUCUCUUGUAACUGUGGGACUCCAACUAGGAAUGUCUCGUAAGCACAAGUCAACAUCUUGUGUUGAUUACGUCCCCGCUCUUUGUACACACCGCCCGUCGCUCCUACCGAUCGAGUGUUUAGGUGAAUUUGAUGGACGUAAGGAAGUCAAAUAAACCUGAGCACUAGAGAAGAGAAGUCGAGAUC
rnacentral:rRNA from 1 species